GACAGAGGUGCCGAGCGUUAGGCGGAAUCACUGGGCUUAAAGCGUGUGUAGGCGGGUCGUUAAGUGUCUUGUGAAAUCCCCCGGCUCAACCGGGGAAUGGCUGGGCAUACUGGCGAUCUUGAGCAGUCUAGGGGCAGAUGGAACAAGUGGUGGAGCGGUGAAAUGCGUAGAUAUCACUUGGAACGCCAACGGUGAAGACAGUCUGCUGGGGACUUGCUGACGCUGAGACACGAAAGCCAGGGGAGCGAACAGG
rnacentral:rRNA from 1 species